AGCGAUUUCAUUUGAUUUGCAGCUUUUUUUUUUAAUUUCUGGAUUUUUAUUUAUUCGUUGUCUGCCGGCUAGUAGAUGUAUACAUUUAUGGGUAAAAGUAUGUGCUAAUUUAUUUAGAUAAUGUGUAUUAAUGGGGAGUUUAAAGCGUUUGUUGAGUAAAUAGUUGUGUUUUGAUUCAUGUAGUAGGAUAUGGAUGCAUUUAAUGAGUAAUUAUCAAUGGAUUCUCGCUUUAUAUCCUUGUUGUCCUCGAA
rnacentral:misc_RNA from 1 species